GAUGAACGCUGGCGGCGUGCCUAAUACAUGCAAGUAGAACGCUGAAGCUUGGUGCUUGCACCGAGCGGAUGAGUUGCGAACGGGUGAGUAACGCGUAGGUAACCUGCCUCUUAGCGGGGGAUAACUAUUGGAAACGAUAGCUAAUACCGCAUAAAAGUCGAUAUCGCAUGAUAUUGAUUUGAAAGGUGCAAAUGCAUCACUAAGAGAUGGACCUGCGUUGUAUUAGCUAGUUGGUGAGGUAACGGCUCACCAAGGCGACGAUACAUAGCCGACCUGAGAGGGUGACCGGCCACACGGGGACUGAGACACGGCCCAGACUCCUCGGGGGGGCAGCAGUAGGGAAUUUGCGGAAAUGGGGGCAACCCUGACCGAGCAACGCCGGGGGGGUGAAGAAGGUUUUCGGAUGGAAAAGCUUUGUUGAAAGGGAAGAACGGGUGGGGGGGGGGAAAGUCCCCCCGGGGGCGGUAAUUUACAAAAAAGGGACGGCAAACUACGU
rnacentral:rRNA from 1 species